GAUGAACGCUGGCGGCGUGCCUAAUACAUGCAAGUCGAGCGAACAGAUCAGGAGCUUGCUCCUUUGACGUUAGCGGCGGACGUGUGAGUAACACGUGGGUAACCUACCUAUAAGACUGGGAUAACUUCGGGAAACCGGAGCUAAUACCGGAUAACAUUUGGAACCGCAUGGUUCUAAAGUGAAAGAUGGUUUUUCUAUCACUUAUAGAUGGACCCGCGCCGUAUUAGCUAGUUGGUAAGGUAACGGCUUACCAAGGCAACGAUACGUAGCCGACCUGAGAGGGUGAUCGGCCACACUGGAACUGAGACACGGUCCAGACGCCUAAGGGAGGCAGCAGUAGGGAAUCUUCCGCAAUGGGGGAAAGCCUGACGGAGCAACGCCGCGUGAGUGAUGAAGGGGUUGGGCGCGUAAAACUCUGUGAUUAGGGAAGAACAAAUGUGUAAGUAACUGUGCACGGCUUGACGGUACCUAAUCAGAAAGCCACGGCUAACUACGUG
rnacentral:rRNA from 1 species